rnacentral:tRNA from 1 species
GCUAAUUAAGUGUUUGCCAAUCGCACAUUGACUUUUCACGUCAAAAGAGCAUUUACAUGCAUUUAGUU